GAUGAACGCUGGCGGCGUGCCUAAUACAUGCCAGUCGAGCGAACAGACGAUGCGCUUGCUCCUCUGACGUUAGCGGCGGACGGGUGAGUCACACGUGGAUAAUCCACCUAUAAUACGGGGAUAAUCUCGGGAAACCGGAGCUAAUACCGGAUAAUAUACUGAACCGUAUGGGGCAAUAGUGAAAGUCGGCUUUGGGGUCACUUAUAGCUGGUUCCGCGCCGUAUUAGCUAGUUGGUAAGGUAAAGGCUUACCAAGGCGACGAUGCGUAGCCGACCUGAGAGGGUGAUAGCCCACACUGGAGCGGGGACGCGGUCCAGACUCCUACGGGAGGCAGCAGUAGGGAAUCUUCCGCAAUGGGCGGAAGCCUGACGGAGCGACGCCGCGUGAGUGAUGAAGGUCUUCGGAUCGUGAAGCUCUGUUAUUGGGGAAGAACAGCUGUGUAAGUAACUAUGCACGGCUUGACGGUACCUAAUCAGAAAGCCCCGGCUAACUACGUG
rnacentral:rRNA from 1 species